rnacentral:rRNA from 1 species
UUAAGAAGCUCGUAGUUGAAUUUCGGGGUUAGUAGGUUGGUCAUGCCUCUGGUAUGUACUGGUCUCACUGAUUCCUCCUUCCUGAUGAACCGUAAUGCCAUUAAUUUGGUGUUGCGGGCAAUUUGGACUGUUACUUUGAAAAAAUUAGAGUGUUUAAAGCAAGCUAACGCUUGAAUACAUUAGCAUGGAAUAAUGAAAUAGGACGUUCGAUCCUAUUUUGUUGGUUUCUAGGAUUGACGUAAUGAUUAAUAGGGAUAGUUGGGGG